rnacentral:rRNA from 1 species
UACGUAGGGUGCGAGCGUUGUCCGGAAUUAUUGGGCGUAAAGGGCUCGUAGGCGGUUUGUCGCGUCGGGGAGUGAAAACACUGGGCUUAACUCAGUGCUUGCUUUCGAUACGGGCAGACUAGAGGUAUGCAGGGGAGAACGGAAUUCCUGGUGUAGCGGUGAAAUGCGCAGAUAUCAGGAGGAACACCGGUGGCGAAGGCGGGUCUCUGGGCAGUAACUGACGCUGAGGAGCGAAAGCGUGGGGAGCGAACAGG